rnacentral:rRNA from 1 species
GGAUGAACGCUAGCUACAGGCUUAACACAUGCAAGUCGAGGGGUAACGUGAGGAAAGCUUGCUUUCCUUGACGACGACCGGCGCACGGGUGAGUAACGCGUAUCCAACCUGCCCAUAACUAAGGGAUAGGCGGUAGAAAUGCCGCCUAAUACCUUAUGUGGUCUCUCGAGGACAUCUGAGUGAGACUAAAGAUUCAUCGGUUAUGGAUGGGGAUGCGUCUGAUUAGCUUGUUGGCGGGGUAACGGCCCACCAAGGCUACGAUCAGUAGGGGUUCUGAGAGGAAGGUCCCCCACAUUGGAACUGAGACACGGUCCAAACUCCUACGGGAGGCAGCAGUGAGGAAUAUUGGUCAAUGGACGGAAGUCUGAACCAGCCAAGUAGCGUGCAGGAUGACGGCCCUAUGGGUUGUAAACUGCUUUUAUAUGGGAAUAACGGAGGGGACGUGUCCCCUUGUGCAUGUACCAUAUGAAUAAGGACCGGCUAAUUCCGUGCCAGCAGCCGCGGUAAUACGGAAGGUCCGGGCGUUAUCCGGAUUUAUUGGGUUUAAAGGGAGCGUAGGCUGGACUUUAAGCGUGUUGUGAAAUGUAGAUGCUCAACAUCUGCACUGCAGCGCGAACUGGAGUCCUUGAGUGCGCGGGAAGUUGGCGGAAUUCGUUGUGUAGCGGUGAAAUGCUUAGAUAUGACGAAGAACUCCGAUUGCGAAGGCAGCUGACUGUAGCGUUACUGACGCUGAAGCUCGAAGGUGCGGGUAUCGAACAGGAUUAGAUACCCUGGUAGUCCGCACAGUAAACGAUGGAUGCUCGCUGUCAGCCUUUGAGGUUGGUGGCCAAGCGAAAGCGUUAAGCAUCCCACCUGGGGAGUACGCCGGCAACGGUGAAACUCAAAGGAAUUGACGGGGGCCCGCACAAGCGGAGGAACAUGUGGUUUAAUUCGAUGAUACGCGAGGAACCUUACCCGGGCUUGAACUGCCGGCGAACGAUUCAGAGAUGAUGAGGUCCUUCGGGACGCCGGUGGAGGUGCUGCAUGGUUGUCGUCAGCUCGUGCCGUGAGGUGUCGGCUUAAGUGCCAUAACGAGCGCAACCCCUUUCAUUAGUUGCCAUCAGGUCAAGCUGGGCACUCUGGUGAUACUGCCACCGUAAGGUGUGAGGAAGGUGGGGAUGACGUCAAAUCAGCACGGCCCUUACGUCCGGGGCUACACACGUGUUACAAUGGUGCAUACAGAGAGUCGGCACUGCGCAAGUAGUGUCCAAUCAAGAAAGUGCAUCGUAGUUCGGACUGGGGUCUGCAACCCGACCCCACGAAGCUGGAUUCGCUAGUAAUCGCGCAUCAGCCAUGGCGCGGUGAUACGUUCCCGGGCAUUGUACAACACCGCCCGUCA